GAUGAACGCUGGCGGCGUGCUUAACACAUGCAAGUCGAGCGAGAAGUUUUGAAAAGAUUCUUCGGAUGAAAUUCAAAAUGGAAAGCGGCGGACGGGUGAGUAACGCGUAGGCAACCUGCCCCAUACAAAGGGAUAGCAUUUGGAAACGAAUAUUAAUACCUUAUGAAACUUAACUAGUGCAUGCUAGGUAGGUCAAAGAUUUAUCGGUAUGGGAUGGGCCUGCGUCUGAUUAGCUAGUUGGUGAGGUAACGGCUCACCAAGGCGACGAUCAGUAGCCGACCUGAGAGGGUGAACGGCCACAUUGGAACUGAGACACGGUCCAAACUCCUACGGGAGGCAGCAGUGGGGAAUAUUGCACAAUGAGGGAAACCCUGAUGCAGCAACGCCGCGUGAACGAUGAAGGCCUUUGGGUCGUAAAGUUCUGUUCUAGGUGAUGAAAACUGACAGUAACCUAGGAGAAAGCCCCGGCUAACUCCGUG
rnacentral:rRNA from 1 species